AAUUGACUUGUCAAGCUUAUGGAUGUUCUACCCGACCAAGUAAUGGAAAAAGCCUACAUAGUUUCCCGGAUCCAGUAAAAAAGAAAGAAUUGUACCAGACUUGGAUCUGCAACCUAAACUUACAAGAAGCAACCUUUACUAGUACCAAGAACAAGGUGGUGUGUGAGGACCAUUUUGAAACAUCUUGUUUCGAAGGAAAUUUGAUGGGCAGGUUGUUAGGCUUCACAUCUAAAGUCAGAAGACUAAAGUCAGACGCAGUACCUACAGUGUUUGCUUGUGACCAAAACUGCAGAGUAUACAACAACAAAGAAGAAAAAGAGUGUUGAACGAGAUUCAACUACCAAUCAACAAUGGGAUCGUAGACGACAAAGAGAAUACAGUUUUGACAGAAAGUAAAGAAGACAACAUUCCACACAAAAAGAAAAAGCAUAUUCUGAAAGCUGUAGAUGGAAAUGUAAGGGGAUCAUCAAAACCCAUAAUGGUUGACAUCGGGGUUCAGACUUCACCAUCACCACAACUUAAGACAGAUCUCAGUACAUCAAUGACAGACCACAACUACUUCUCGACACAACCACUGGAUACAGCAUUUAUUGGUUCACCUCAGAAAGACCCGAAUGCAUCCGAUGAAUCCAAGCCUUCACCACCACCUAGUCCAGAGAAGCCUGACAGUGACUUGUCAUAUGUACCAAGUGAUGAAUCCCAUGAGUCUAAUCAGUUCAGACUCCUCUCAACACAUCAGCACAGAACCAAAUGGUAUGGCAUUUGAGAGCUGCAUGAGGUCAUUGUUUACACGAGUUGUAUGCACAGAAUGUGGAGUUGCAGUAUCAGCUGACGAAUCAAGGAUAACCUACAAUGGGACCUCAAUGAAAGUAAAAUUCCUCUGCAUGGAAGGUCAUCAGACAUUUUGGGAAUCACAGCCAUUGGUAAACAACAAACCCGCUAGUAAUUUGAUAGUGGCUACAGCAAUAAUCCUGUCCGGCAAAUUUUCACAAGAAUAUCUCAUUUUGCAGAUAUCCUUUCGCUGAAGUUUAUUGGACCUUCCCAGUUUUACAGUACACAGAAGGACAUUGCCAUCCCAGCCAUUGACCGCUAUUACAACAUGCAAAGAGACAUUAUUCUCCACCAGCUACAGGGUAAGCAGCUCAUCCUUGGUGGAGAUGCCGCUGCAACAGUCCCGGCUUUUCAGCCAAGUAUUGUACAUAUACUUUCAUGGACACAAAGGCAGGGGUAAUUCCAGAUUUCAACUUAGUUCAAGUCUCCGAGAACACAUCAUCCAACAAGAUGGAGUUGAUAGGCUUUCAGCAGUCCCUAGCUAGUAUUGAAGCUGCAAAUUUAAAUGUCGGAGUGGACAUGUACAGAUUUGCCGGGCAAUGACAACGGAUCAUAGGGACAAAGCCCACCAAUUUGAUGUUUGGCAUAUGUCGAAGUCCAUACAGAAAAAGAUUCUUGCCAUCAAGCCGAAAAAACUACUAGCUAAAAUCAAGCCAUGGAUCCCAUCCAUCUGCAACCACAUUUGGUGGUGCUCCAAACAGGCUGAUGGCGACCCAGAUGAGAUGGAAGAGACUUGGAAAAAGCCUGCCUCAAACAGACACACCUUUCCAGGGAAGAUCAUUACCAUAUGCGGACACCCCCCACUGAGCCCUGAUGCAAUAAGAAAGAAGAAAUG